rnacentral:rRNA from 1 species
UACGUAGGGUGCAAGCGUUGUCCGGAAUUAUUGGGCGUAAAGAGCGUGUAGGCGGCCCGAUUAGUCUGCUGUGAAAGUCCAGGGCUCAACCCUGGAAUGCCGGUGGAUACUGUCGGACUAGAGUCCGGAAGAGGCGAGUGGAAUUCCCGGUGUAGCGGUGAAAUGCGCAGAUAUCGGGAGGAACACCAAUGGCGAAGGCAGCUCGCUGGGACGGUACUGACGCUGAGGCGCGAAAGCGUGGGGAGCAAACAGG